AGAGCUUAGGCUCUGAUUAUUUUUGACUAGAUAAAGUACAAGUAGUAACAAGGUUUCAGUUGGAGAACCAGUGAUGGAUCAUUU
rnacentral:rRNA from 1 species